GACGAACCGAGCGAACGUUGUUCGGAAUUACUGGGCGUAAAGCGCACGUAGGCGGAUUUGUAAGUCAGGGGUGAAAUCCCGGGGCUCAACCCCGGAACUGCCUUUGAUACUGCGAAUCUCGAGUCCGGAAGAGGUGAGUGGAAUUCCUAGUGUAGAGGUGAAAUUCGUAGAUAUUAGGAAGAACACCAGUGGCGAAGGCGGCGUCCUGGACCAACACUGACACUGAGGAGCGAAAGCCAGGGGAGCAAACGGG
rnacentral:rRNA from 1 species